rnacentral:rRNA from 1 species
AACGAACGCUGGCGGCAUGCCUAACACAUGCAAGUCGAACGAGACCUUCGGGUCUAGUGGCGCACGGGUGCGUAACGCGUGGGAAUCUGCCCUUGGGUUCGGAAUAACAGUUAGAAAUGACUGCUAAUACCGGAUAAUGUCUUCGGACCAAAGAUUUAUCGCCCAGGGAUGAGCCCGCGUAGGAUUAGCUAGUUGGUGAGGUAAAGGCUCACCAAGGCGACGAUCCUUAGCUGGUCUGAGAGGAUGAUCAGCCACACUGGGACUGAGACACGGCCCAGACUCCUACGGGAGGCAGCAGUGGGGAAUAUUGGACAAUGGCGAAAGCCUGAUCCAGCAAUGCCGCGUGAGUGAUGAAGGCCUUAGGGUUGUAAAGACUCUUUUACCCGGGAUGAUAAAUGACAGUACCGGGAGAAUAAGCCCCGGCUAACUCCGUGCCAGCAGCCGCGGUAAU